GGAGCAGAAAAAGUGGCUGUGGACAAGUCCAAAACAUGUUUCUAUCAUUAAAUAAGGCAGGGAGGGACCACAUCCAUAUGGAUUUUCAGUUGCAUAAUUUUUGAUUGAUGUGAAGGCUUUUUUGAAAGAUGGAUACUGCAAAGGCACUGUCUAUUCAUCAUCAUUACUCAGGCACACUCCGAUGUGGUUUCUCCGUACCUCCCACUGGUCACAACUUAAAGCUGAGUAUAUUUACUGACUUACUCUACAUCACGGGCCGUUCUCCUCAUGAACACACUCUGUUCUGUAGUAAAAUCACUUUAAAUAUUCUAUGAGCAUUUAUUUAUCUAUUUUUUUAUAUAUGUAUGUAUGUAUGUAUGUAUGUAUGUAUGUAUGUAUUUAUUUAUUUAUUUAUUUAUUACACUGUGAUACUCAGGAUGGAAAUCAGUAGAGUUUGGGUAUAGCUUAUAUUUCAAUAUUACAAUUCAAUAAAAUUCAAUUCAAUGACAUAUAAACAAGCCUUUUACAAGAUUAAGAAUGAGAAAUAUUAUUAGAAAUAUCUUAAUGAAAUGUUACUAGCAAUUGUAAUAGUCCUUCAGGGUUUUGCAGGGUUUUUUUUUUCCUUUCUAUUUUCAUUUAUAAAUUGAACGAUUGCUCAUAGUUACACUUAAAACAUGAAGAAAAAACAAGUGAAAAACAGAAAAUGAAAAAUUAUUUAUAAAAAUG
ensembl:lncRNA